ACCUGAGCCAAAAUCAGGAGUUGGAUGCUCAACUGACUGAACCACCCAGGCACCCUCUUUAUUUGUUUCGUAAUUUCUCUUUCUAUAUUUUAUGUGUCAUUGAUACGUGUUUGGAGCAGAGGAUGUCUUCAAUGCAAGAAAUUACAGGUAUCUUAGCUGGAAGUAUAGAUACGUUGGAUUAUAUUGCAUUAUAUAUUGCCUUAUUGUCCAGAAACAAUUUAUUUAUUUAUUUGUAAGUGCAAAGUCUGUGCUUCAAGAAUUAUGAGGACGUUGAGAUUCAAUGUAACAUAGGAAAUGGGAAGACUCUCAGGUGUCAGAUAGACCUGGGUUUUAACACAGACCUGACACUUCCCUGUGGAAGUAGCAAAUAUAUCAUCUCCUUGAUAACAGUUACUUCAUCUCUAAAAGGGGGAUAAUAAUACCUGUAAAAUAUUGUGAAGCUUGAAUAAAUGAUAGCUGUGAAGUAUCUGUUAUAAGACACAGAGAGACAUGUUUUGUUUUAUUUUACAUCCGCUUUGUAGGCAAAAUAACAUUGAAAACAUACACUUUGUUAAGUAAACUAGCAUAUACCAGGUAGAUAAUACACAUAUAGCAGAACCAUAUACAGACUCUUUGGGAAAUGGUACAAAGGAAAUUAAAAAUAGAAGAUAAAAAUGUUAUGAAGUCAAAUGAGAAGUAAUAUAGUAUGGAUACAAUACAUGACAGAAAUAUCUAUCUGAUACUUUCAUAUUUUUAAGCCAAGGAUGGGUAUGCAAAUAUAUAAACUAUUUUGAGCCAUUAAUUGUUACAAAUUUCCCCUGCUUGUCAAGAAACUUUGUAUUUGUUAAUGAGUGAAGUUACAUAAAUACACACAUGUACCUAAUGCUUAUAUACGAACAUGGGAUAUAAAAAUUACUUUUAUCCCUUUGCCCUUAAAAAACAAGAUUUGGCAACAUGUAGAUUGCAAGGAAAAGCUGAAAAAAAAGAUGAAAAUCCAAAUUUGAAAUGUCUCUCAACUCCCACACAUGUUCUUAUAUAUUACUUUCAGCCUCCAAAUUAUGAAAAAUGUUUCUGUAGAACCUAUCAACUCUCUCAAUAAAAAUAUCCCAGGUUGUCAUGGUGACAUAGUUCUUUCCCCUGCAGAAUCCUGUAGUCUGGUACAGCGAUUUCCUAAUUCUUUAUGGUUGUGGAAUGUUUCCUUUCUUUUUUUUUUUUUUUCACAUGGUUUCUCAUUUUUCCAAUCUAAGAUUACAUCUUAGCCUGCUACGAUGGUGGCAAACUAAAGAUUUAAUUUGAAACAAGGAAGAUUUAAAUAGUGGUCUUAUAAUAGUAAAUUAAUCUGGAAAGCUGAUGGAAUGUAUGUAUGAGUGUAUGUUCUGCAGUCGUCUUUGAUGAAAACAUUACAGCACUCACCCCUUGCUAGAAUCUAUUUCUUUCCUAACCUGUGUGGGCUGAUUAAAUUAAGAACUCUCAAUGUCCAGGCUUUUAAACCAGAGGUACAAUUCUAGGAGUUUGGUAGUCAGAAUAUGAAAUUUAGAUUAGCCUUUUUCUCCUCUCUAUCCCAAAUGCUUUGUUCUUCCCAUCUCUCAAUCCUGAAUGGGGCUUUGCAGAUUUGUGAGUCCCUAUAGUGCAGAGACUUGUGGAUGUUAUGGAAUAGAGCUCACCUCUGACAAAUUAUCUUGCUGCCUGGUUUGGUCUGUUUUAGGGCUCCUAGGGUUAUCUUUCUGGGAAGAUAUUAAGGAGUAAGAGCAGCCCUCAGCAGGGGUUCCUUGGACACCGGGGAGAACGAAGAGACUGAGCAAUGGAGCGUCAGAGGAGAGCAUGAGAAAGCUGCACGCAAGAAAGAGCAAAAACACUCUGUGGUUGUUUAAUAUCUCCUUGAAGAGAGGGACUUUGUCUUUUGUUUGUCUAAAUAAUGAGUAAGUCAGUGGCUGUUUGGUGGUGACUUUACCAAGUAUUUUGACUCUGCCUGUGCCACUGGACAUUUAGCUGGAAGGAUCCUUUGGUGAAGGCUAACAUCAAAGUGUAAGUGUCCCAGACGUCUCUCAGGUGCUUCUCAGGUGAUGCCCAUUGUACCUUUCACCGCCUGCCCCCUCUCCAUCCUCUGUGGAUAACCACUAUUCUGACUUCUAUCGCCAUAAAAUUGUUUUAGUUUCUUGAAUUUUCUGUGAAUGGGAUCAUAGAGUAUAUACUCUUAGGUCUGGCUUCUUUUGCUCAACAUUAUGUGUGUACAUUCUUCCUUGUUGAUACAUGUACCAGUAGUUCUUCCUUCUUAAUUGUUGUGUAAAUGCCAUUGUGUGAUUUAUACCACAUUUAACUUAUCCGUUUUACUGAUAAUUGACACUUGGGUUGUGGCAAAUUUUCAGACCUUCUGAAUAAUAAACUUUCCUGUGUGUGUCUUUUUAAAUGGA